rnacentral:rRNA from 1 species
CAGCCGCCGCGGUAAUACCGGCGGCCCGAGUGGCGGUCACUAUUAUUGGGCUUAAAGCGUCCGUAGCCGGGUUGGGAAGUCCUCCGGGAAAUCUGGCCGCUUAACGGUCAGAAUGCCGGAGGAUACUCCCAGCCUAGGGAGCGGGAGAGGCCGAGGGGAUUCCCGGAGUAGGGGGGAAAUCCUAUAAUCCCGGGAGCACCACCUGUGGCGAAGGCGCUCGGCUGGAACGCGUCCGACGGUGAGGGACGAAGGCCAGGGGAGCAAACCGGAUUAGAUACCCGGGUAGUCCUGGCUGUAAACGAUGCGGACUUUGUGUCGGACAAGCUAUGAGCUUGUCCGGUGCCGGAGGGAAACCGUUAAGUCCGCCGCCUGGGGAGUACGGCCGCAAGGCUGAAACUUAAAGGAAUUGGCGGG